GGCUCGGUUGUCUAGUAUGAUUCUCGCUUUGGGUGCGAGAGGUCCCGGGUUCAAAUCCCGGUCGAGCCC